UCGCCAUUGGUAUUGCCUUCGGACCAAGUAGCCCCGAGUCCAUCACCUCGCCGCCACAAGGAGAAUUCCCAAAGCUUGGAUCCCACCCCUCUCUCAUCGCAUGGUGAUCCAUGCUUCUCCGGACUACCAUUCAAUCGUGAGAGUCCUGAUCUCGCAACAGCAUACCGUGGGGGGUCCCCGGAGCCUGUCACUUCACCUACAACAUCUGUUGGUUUCAACGAAGAUAUUGAUAUGUGUGAUAUUGAGGUUGACAAUAGUCUUCACCAAUCUGAGGGCACUGAUCCAUCUGUUAGAGCAGCAAUAGAAAGGGCAACUAAAAAAUUCAGAUCCCAAUGUUGGAAAGAAUUUGAACCAGUACUCGAA